UGUUUUAAUUAGUUUGCAAUUUUUUUAUUAAUAUAAGUCAAAUAUAGAAUUGAAUUAUAAACAAGUGUUUUAUUUUCUUAUAAACACGUAGAAUUGAUUUCAAGUUCCUAGAAACACACGUGUAUAUUCGUAGUUAACCUUGUAUUUGCUUGCUCAUGUUCUAGGAACACGUGGUUGGAGUUUGGUUCAUGCACUGCCUGCUGAACCGUCACCUCUCAGGGGGCAUGGGAACACUUUCCAUUGUGAAGAAUCAUAAGGGUUUGGAAAGAAAAUUGCUACCUCCACCAUAUUGGAGAUGCUUACCUUCAGGUUGGAGAAAAUUUUGGAUUGUAGUAUAACUUGCUCAAUGUGGUAAGCGCAAAUUUAAGGUUUUAAGUUUUAACUUAUGCUACGAGAUGUUAUUCGCUUAGGAAAAAGCUAUGUUUACGAGUGUAUUGAAUGUAAUUGCAUCCAGUUUUCCAAUUUUUAUCUUUGCAUUGCAUUUUAUUAUAGCCAUCCAUGUGAUGUCUUUAGUUUUAGAUAAAGGAGAAAAAGCAGCAUCGAUAUAAAAAAAAAGGUCAUAUAUAUAUGAGGAUGUGUCUUUGGAAAGAGAUUUUGUUUUUGUGCAACAAAGUCAUGUAUUCUUGAGAAGUGGAAAAAAUAGUAAGAGUUAUGUUCAUA